UACGGAGGGUGCGAGCGUUGUCCGGAAUCAUUGGGCGUAAAGGGCGCGUAGGUGGCCCGGUCAGUCCGUGGUGAAAGCGCGGGGCUCAACCCCGCGUCGGCCAUGGAUACUGCUGGGCUGGAGCACUGUAGAGGCAGGCGGAAUUCCGGGUGUAGCGGUGGAAUGCGUAGAGAUCCGGAAGAACACCGGUGGCGAAGGCGGCCUGCUGGGCAGUUGCUGACACUGAGGCGCGACAGCGUGGGGAGCAAACAGG
rnacentral:rRNA from 1 species